UUAUUGGAUUUCACUUAUAAAAUUUAAGUAAAAUUUUUAUUUUUUAACUAAAGUUGCAUUGUAAUUAUAAAUAAAUUUAUGAAAUAUAUAUAAAAAGAAUAAAGUUGAGGGCCUUAUUCAAAGUAAAGAUAUCAACGGGUCGGAUUCGGGAUGGAUUCGGGUCCUAAAGUAAGAAAGUGCGAAACCACAGGAUACUAAAGUGAAAAAAUGUGAAACUACAGGAUACUAACUUGAUACACUUUAAACAACAAGAUACUAAAGUGAAAAAGUGCAAAACCACAGGGUCUUAAAUUAAUACACUUUAAACCACAUGUACUAAAGUGAGAAAAAGUGAAACCACAAGGGAGGUAUUUGAAGUUUUCCCUAUAUAUAUAUAUAAUACGUCUUCAGUGCUUUUGAAAGUAUAUAGAGGCCUCUGUGUUUGUAAGUUAUUUUCGAUAAUAAGGCAUCUGAUUCGACGAUCGGCUCUAUUAGGCAUAAUUUACGCUAUUAGAACUAUCUAUAAAUCAAAUUUCAUAAUGCUUGGACAUCAUUUUACCAAGUAAUCAAAAUGUCUUAAAAAUAACUAUUUUAACGGUCAAUGUGGCACGUUUUUAAGUUUAACGGUGUAGAAUAAUCCAAAUUACAUGAAACUUUAAUAGAUAAUUUUACAUAACAUCAAUAACAAGAUCGAUACUUUUGAUUUGAAAUUUGUGUAUUUUAUCACUAUUUUUUAUGAGAUUUUUAUUUUCAGAUUUUCAUUUUGAGGCUAUUCGUUUAUUAGGCAAAUGAAAUUAAAAAAUUAUGAAAUUUAAUUUAUAGAUAGUUCUAUUAGCGCAGAUCAUGUCUAAUAGAACUGAUUGCCAAAUCAGAUGUCUCAUCAUCAAAAAUAAGUACAAGCACUAAAGCCUCCGUAUUUUCAAAAAUAUAGGAAUCUAGCUCUAUGUAUAUAGUUUGGAUGUGGUGCUUCUAAUAGUAUCACUCAGUGCUACUAACUUUUUUGCCAUUAAAUUUACUUUUUUAAUUACUUAUAUUCUUUUUUU
rnacentral:lncRNA from 1 species